GGCGGCCGGUUUGGGGACGCACUGUAAAUCCGUCGCGAAAGCUACAGAGGUUCGAAUCCUCUACCCGCCACCA
rnacentral:tRNA from 1 species